rnacentral:rRNA from 1 species
CCUACGGGAGGCAGCAGUGAGGAAUAUUGGUCAAUGGGCGAGAGCCUGAACCAGCCAUCCCGCGUGCAGGAUGACGGCCCUACGGGUUGUAAACUGCUUUUAUGUACCAAGAAUAGGCGCUACGUGUAGCGUUAUGACGGUAGUACAUGAAUAAGCACGGCUA